rnacentral:piRNA from 1 species
UCCAGAAGAAGAAACUGUUGCCUGGUGAGA